rnacentral:rRNA from 1 species
AAGUGCCUACUUAAGGGGAAGGGAAGUAUAGUAGAAGAAGAAGGUAAUAAAAGUGAUGCAAAGUAAGGUAAGCGCGGAGUUGAGUGCCGGAUAGCGGCGGACGGGUGAGUAACGCGUGGGCAACCUACCCUUAAGACCGGGAUAACACCUCGAAAGGGGUGCUAAUACUGGAUAAGCUCCUUGUAGGGCAUCCUAUGAGGAGGGAAGGUAGCGGAAGCUACCGCUUAAGGAUGGGCCCGCGUCCCAUCAGCUAGUUGGUAGGGUAACGGCCUACCAAGGCGACGACGGGUAGCCGGCCUGAGAGGGUGGUCGGCCACACUGGGACUGAGACACGGCCCAGACUCCUACGGGAGGCAGCAGUGGGGAAUCUUGCGCAAUGGGCGAAAGCCUGACGCAGCGACGCCCGCGUGAGCGAAGAAGGCCUUCGGGUCGUAAAGCUCGAUAGUGUGGGAAGAAUAGAUGACGGUACCACACGAAAGCCCCGGCUAACUACGUGCCAGCAGCCGCGGUAAGACGUAGGGGGCGAGCGUUGUCCGGAAUUACUGGGCGUAAAGGGCGCGUAGGCGGCCACUUAAGUCAGGUGUAAAAAACCCGGGCUCAACCCGGGGGAUGCACAUGAAACUGGGUGGCUAGAGGGCAGGAGAGGGGAGUGGAAUUCCCGGUGUAGCGGUGAAAUACGUAGAUAUCGGGAGGAAUACCAGUGGCGAAGGCGACUCUCUGGACUGACCCUGACGCUGAGGCGCGAAAGCGUGGGGAGCAAACAGGAUUAGAUACCCUGGUAGUCCACGCCGUAAACAAUGGGUACUAGGUGUGGGAUGCGGAAGCAUUCCGUGCCCGUAGUUAACGCAAAUAAGAUUUCCCCCCGCCUUGGGGGUACGGCCGCAAAGGUUGAAACUUCAAAAGGAAAAUGACGGGGGCCCCGCACAAGGCGGUGGGAGCAUGUGGUUUAAUUUCGAAGGCAAACCGGGGAAGAAAACUUACACAGGGCUUGACAUGCAGGUAGUAGCGAGCCGAAAGGGUGAGGGGACCCCGCGCACUCCAACGAAAAUGUGCUUACCGUAGAGAAGAAGUAGGUAGGGAGUGAAAUGCAGGGGAGGGAAGGAGUUUAAGAGGGUAGGGCGCUUGGUUUGAGUGCCCGGGGAGCCCUGCACCAGGUGGUGCAAUGGGUUGUCGUCAAGCUCGUGUCGUGAGAUGUUGGGUUUAAGUUCCCCGCAA